GACGAACGCUGGCGGCGUGCUUAACACAUGCAAGUCGAACGGAAAGGCCCUGCUUUUGUGGGGUGCUCGAGUGGCGAACGGGUGAGUAACACGUGAGUAACCUGCCCUUGACUUUGGGAUAACUUCAGGAAACUGGGGCUAAUACCGGAUAGGAGCUCCUGCUGCAUGGUGGGGGUUGGAAAGUUUCGGCGGUUGGGGAUGGACUCGCGGCUUAUCAGCUUGUUGGUGGGGUAGUGGCUUACCAAGGCUUUGACGGGUAGCCGGCAUGAGAGGGUGACCGGCCACAAUGGGACUGAGAAGCGGCCCAGACUCCUACGGGAGGCAGCAGUGGGGAAUAUUGCACAAUGGGCGGAAGCCUGAUGCAGCAACGCCGCGUGCGGGAUGACGGCCUUCGGGUUGUAAACCGCUUUCGCCUGUGACGAAGCGUGAGUGACGGUAACGGGUAAAGAAGCACCGGCUAACUACGUG
rnacentral:rRNA from 1 species